CGAAGCAACGCGAAGAACCUUACCAGGUCUUGACAUCCCUGACAACCCGAGAGAUCGGGCGUUCCCCGUCGGGGGACGAGGGUGACAGGUGGUGCAUGGUUGUCGUCAGCUCGUGUCGUGAGAUGUUGGGUUAAGUCCCGCAACGAGCGCAACCCUCGACCUUAGUUGCCAGCAUUCAGUUGGGCACUCUAAGGUGACUGCCGGCUAAAAGUCGGAGGAAGGUGGGGAUGACGUCAAGUCCUCAUGGCCUUUAUGCCCAGGGCUACACACGUGCUACAAUGGGCGGUACAAAGAGAAGCAACCUCGCGAGGGUGAGCAAAUCUCAAAAAGCCGUUCUCAGUUCGGAUUGAAGUCUGCAACUCGACUUCAUGAAGUCGGAAUCGCUAGUAAUCGCGGAUCAGCAUGCCGCGGUGAAUACGUUCCCGGGCCUU
rnacentral:rRNA from 1 species